AAACUUUCAACAACGGAUCUCUUGGUUCCGGCAUCCAUGAAGAACGCAGCGAAAUGCAAUAACUAAUGUGAAUUGCAGAAUUCAGUGAAUCAUCAAGUCUUUGAACGCACAUU
rnacentral:rRNA from 1 species